rnacentral:lncRNA from 1 species
AAGUUGUGCCACGUCAGCACCCCGUCAGCAGCCAUGUCAGCGGUCUGGUCAGCAGCCCCAGCCAACCAGGACGCACCACGUGGCAAGGAAACACUGACCAGGGGACGGGCCACGUGGGCGAUCCGUGUGCGCGCGAUCGGACGGCCUAGAUCCGUUCCUGUGCGUAUGGACGGCCCAGAUUCAAUCAGGCACGGACGACCCAGAUUGCAUCGCAAUGGACGGCCCAGAUUUAAUC